UGGUUCUGGCAUCGAUGAAGAACGCAGCGAAAUGCGAUAAGUAAUGUGAAUUGCAGAAUUCAGUGAAUCAUCGAAUCUUUGAACGCACAUUGCGCCCAUUAGUACUCUAGUGGGCAUGCCUGUUCGAGCGUCAUUACAACUCUCAGUCAACUGAUGUUGAUAGCUGUGGAUGUUUACGUCCACACUUUCAAAAUAUAAUGGCGGAAAUAAUAAUUAGCCAAGCGUAGUACAUUUCUCGCUCCGGUUUUAGUAUUAUUUUCUAGCUUAUUUUAACUUUAAAAAGUUGACCUCGAAUCAGGUAGGAAUACCCGCUGA
rnacentral:misc_RNA from 1 species